rnacentral:rRNA from 1 species
CGGAGCGACGCCGCGUGAUGGACGAAGGCCCUCGGGUUGUAAACAUCUGUCGUAGGGGAGGAAAUUUUGACCGAUCCUAGGAGGAAGCGCAGGCUAAGUUCGUGCCAGCAGCCGCGGUAAUACGAACUGCGCAAACGUUAUUCGGAAUCACUGGGCUUAAAGGGUGCGUAGGCGGGUUGGUAGGUCAGAUGUGAAAGCCCACGGCUCAACCGUGGAAUUGCGUUUGAAACCCCCAGCCUUGAGGGGAUCAGAGGAGAGCGGAACUGAUGGUGGAGCGGUGAAAUGCGUUGAUAUCAUCAGGAACACCGGUGGCGAAAGCGGCUCUCUGGGAUCUUUCUGACGCUGAGGCACGAAAGCUAGGGGAGCGAACGGGAUUAGAUACCCCGGUAGUCCUAGCUGUAAACGAUCUGUACUAGUCUGUGGGGGCUUCCACACCCUCUCGGACGUAGCGAAAGUGUUAAGUACAGCGCCUGGGGAGUAUGGUCGCAAGGCUGAAACUCAAAGGAAUUGACGGGGCCUCACACAAA